AUUGAACGCUGGCGGCAUGCCUUACACAUGCAAGUCGAACGGCAGCACGGGAGCAAUCCUGGUGGCGAGUGGCGAACGGGUGAGUAAUAUAUCGGAACGUGCCCAGUCGUGGGGGAUAACGUAGCGAAAGCUACGCUAAUACCGCAUACGAUCUACGGAUGAAAGCGGGGGAUCGCAAGACCUCGCGCGAUUGGAGCGGCCGAUAUCAGAUUAGCUAGUUGGUGGGGUAAAAGCUCACCAAGGCGACGAUCUGUAGCUGGUCUGAGAGGACGACCAGCCACACUGGAACUGAGACACGGUCCAGACUCCUACGGGAGGCAGCAGUGGGGAAUUUUGGACAAUGGGCGCAAGCCUGAUCCAGCAAUGCUGCGUGCAGGAUGAAGGCCUUCGGGUUGUAAACUGCUUUUGUACGGAACGAAACGGUGAGCUCUAAUAAAGCUUGCUAAUGACGGUACCGUAAGAAUAAGCACCGGCUAACUACGUG
rnacentral:rRNA from 1 species